rnacentral:rRNA from 1 species
UACGUAGGGUGCAAGCGUUAAUCGGAAUUACUGGGCGUAAAGGGUGCGCAGGCGGUUCGGAAAGAAGGAUGUGAAAUCCCAGGGCUUAACCUUGGAACUGCAUUUUUAACUACCGAGCUAGAGUGUGUCAGAGGGAGGUGGAAUUCCGCGUGUAGCAGUGAAAUGCGUAGAGAUGCGGAGGAACACCGAUGGCGAAGGCGGCCUCCUGGGAUAACACUGACGCUCAGGCACGAAAGCGUGGGGAGCAAACAGG